GAUGAACGCUGGCGGCGUGCUUAACACAUGCAAGUCGAACGGAAAGGCUCCUGCUUGCCGGGGUACUCGAGUGGCGAACGGGUGAGUAACACGUGGGUGAUCUGCCCUGCACUUCGGGAUAAGCCUGGGAAACUGGGUCUAAUACCGGAUAGGACGAUGGUUUGGAUGCCAUUGUGGAAAGUUUUUUCGGUGUGGGAUGAGCUCGCGGCCUAUCAGCUUGUUGGUGGGGUAAUGGCCUACCAAGGCGUCGACGGGUAGCCGGCCUGAGAGGGUGUACGGCGACAUUGGGAAUGAGAGACGGACGAGACUGCUACGGGAGGCAGCAGUGGGGAGUAUUGCACAAGGGGCGCAAGUGCGAUGAAGAGACGCAGCGUGGGGGAUGACGGCGUUCGGGUUGUAAAAACCUGUAGCUAGGGACGAAGCGCAAGUGACGGUACCUGGAGAAGAAGCACCGGCUAACUACGUG
rnacentral:rRNA from 1 species